GUGACGAAGCGACGCCGCGUGUGGGAAGAAGGCCUUCGGGUUGUAAACCACUGUCAGGAGUUAAGAAAUGCAAGGGUGUAAAUAGCAUCCUUGCUUGACUAAGGCUCCAGAGGAAGCCACGGCUAACUCUGUGCCAGCAGCCGCGGUAAUACAGAGGUGGCAAGCGUUGUUCGGAAUUAUUGGGCGUAAAGAGCACGUAGGCGGCUCUGCAAGUCAGCUGUGAAAGCCUUCUGCUUAACGGAAGAACAGCAGUUGAUACUACAGAGCUUGAGUGUGGGAGGGAAGAGUGGAACUUCUGGUGGAGCGGUGAAAUGCGUAGAUAUCAGAAGGAACGCCGGCGGCGAAAGCGACUCUCUGGCCCGUAACUAACGCUGAGUGUGCGAAAGCUAGGGGAGCAAACGGGAUUAGAUACCCCGGUAGUCCUAGCCGUAAACGAU
rnacentral:rRNA from 1 species